rnacentral:lncRNA from 1 species
AAACAAACAAGAGGGAGCCUUCACAAAGGUUGCUUAAGAGAAGUCUCAGCAGUCGGCAGAGCCCCAGAAAGAGAAGGCACCGGAGGGGGAUCAUUCGGAGCCUCAGUACUGGACAGCACCCUAGAAGGAGGAGGCAUCAGAGGUUGAUCAUUUGGAUUUUCAUUACGCGGUACAGUCCCAGAAGACGAAGGCAAUAAAUGCCUUUGGAACAAACCCACAAACCUCUGAUGAUCAUGUAAAAUCUGACCAUCAGAUUCCUUCAUUUGGUCAAGCUUCCUCUUUAUGUUUGUAGCAUAGUCAUGAGCGAGCCGGUGCAACUGUUUAUUCUCAUG